rnacentral:rRNA from 1 species
UACGAAGGGGGCUAGCGUUGCUCGGAAUUACUGGGCGUAAAGGGCGCGUAGGCGGAUAUUUAAGUUGGGGGUGAAAUCCCGGGGCUCAACCUCGGAAUUGCCUUCAAAACUGGAUAUCUUGAGUUCGGGAGAGGUGAGUGGAACUCCGAGUGUAGAGGUGAAAUUCGUAGAUAUUCGGAAGAACACCAGUGGCGAAGGCGACUCACUGGCCCGAUACUGACGCUGAGGCGCGAAAGCCAGGGGAGCAAACGGG